rnacentral:rRNA from 1 species
UACGUAGGAGGCGAGCGUUGUCCGGAUUUACUGGGCGUAAAGGGCGCGUAGGCGGUUCGAUAAGUCCCGUGUGAAAUCCCUCGGCUCAACUGAGGAAUGGCACGGGAAACUGACGGGCUUGAGUUCGGGAGAGGGAAGCGGAAUUCCGGGUGUAGAGGUGAAAUUCGUAGAUAUCGGGAGGAACACCAGUGGCGAAGGCGGCGAUCUGGGUGGAGUACGUGACGCUGAGGUGCGAAAGCGUGGGGAG